rnacentral:tRNA from 1 species
GCCCGCGUGGCUCAGUUGGUAGAGCAUGGUAUUUGCAAUGCCAGGGUUGUGGGUUCGAUUCCCACGGGGGACC